rnacentral:rRNA from 1 species
GUAUUGCGCAAUGGAGGAAACUCUGACGCAGCGACGCCGCGUGAGCGAUGAAGGUCUUNGGCUCGNANAGCUCUGUCCUUGGGGANGAAGAUAGAAAGAUUUGACGGUACCCGAGGAGGAAGCCCCGGCUAACUACGUGCCAGCAGCCGCGGUAAUACGUAGGGGGCAAGCGUUGUCCGGAAUUAUUGGGCGUAAAGGGUUCGUAGGCGGCGUUUUAGGUAAGAUGUGAAAAACCGCGGAUAAACCGUAGGGUUGCAUUUGAAACUGGUAGGCUUGAGUAUCGGGGAGGGUAGUGGAAUUCCCAGUGUAGCGGUGAAAUGCGUAGAUAUUGGGAGGAACACCAGUGGCGAAGGCGACUACCUGGACUGAUACUGACACUGAGGUGCGAAGGCGUGGGGAGCAAAC